GAUCGAUGAUGAGGCUUAUCCCAAAGCUGAUAGCCUGAAGAAAAGGGU
rnacentral:snoRNA from 1 species